GAAGGGAAAGGAAGCGAUUGUACGCUCUGAAUUGAGCAUUGCAUGUCUUUAAUCCUCAGAGCAAACUCCAGUUCACAGACAGAAACUUCGGAGAGGUUCAGUACCUUCCUUCAAACCACACAGGCCUGAUCCCGGGACCGUCUAGCCCUGGCCCAUGUUCCUUAUCUACUUGCCGACUACCUGACUCCAACUUCCCUGAGGGUAGAGACCAUGUCAAUCCUGUUUACUUGUCUUUCCAGUGCCAGGAAUAUACUAGAAGGCUUUCAGUAAAUGUAGAAUAAAUGAAUGGUUAAUGGG